rfam:Ictidomys tridecemlineatus contig094640, whole genome shotgun sequence.
GGGGUUGUGGCUCAGUGGUACAGUGCUUGCCUAGCAUGCAUGAGGCACCAGGUUCCAAUCCUCAGCACCA